rnacentral:rRNA from 1 species
CCCUUAGAUGUUCUGGGCCGCACGCGCGCUACACUGACGCAUUCAACGAGUCUCCUUGGCCGAGAGGCCUGGGUAAUCUUGUGAACGUGCGUCGUGAUAGGGAUAGAUUAUUGCAAUUAUUAAUCUUGAACGAGGAAUUCCUAGUAAACGCAGAUCAUCAAUCUGCAUUGAUUACGUCCCUGCCCUUUGUACACACCGCCCGUCGCACCUACCGAUUGGAUGGUCCGGUGAGGCCUCGGGAUUGUGGCCGGUGCAUUCAUUUGUGUCGGUUGCGAGAACUUGUCCAAGCCUUAUCAUCUAGAGGAAGGUGAAGUCGUANCA